rnacentral:rRNA from 1 species
GCCGCGGUGAUACGGAGGGUGCAAGCGUUAAUCGGAAUUACUGGGCGUAAAGCGCACGCUGGCGGUUUGUUAAGUCAGAUGUGAAAUCCCCGCGCUUAACGUGGGAACUGCAUUUGAAACUGGCAAGCUAGAGUCUUGUAGAGGGGGGUAGAAUUCCAGGUGUAGCGGUGAAAUGCGUAGAGAUCUGGAGGAAUACCGGUGGCGAAGGCGGCCCCCUGGACAAAGACUGACGCUCAGGUGCGAAAGCGUGGGGAGCAAAUAGGAUUAGAUACCCUGGUAGUCCACGCUGUAAACGAUGUCGACUUGGAGGUUGUGCCCUUGAGGCGUGGCUUCCGGAGCUAACGCGUUAAGUCGACCGCCUGGGGAGUACGGCCGCAAGGUUAAAACUCAAAUGAAUUGACGGGGGCCCGCACAAGCGGUGGAGCAUGUGGUUUAAUUCGAUGCAACGCGAAGAACCUUACCUACUCUUGACAUCCACGGAAUUCGCCAGAGAUGGCUUAGUGCCUUCGGGAACCGUGAGACAGGUGCUGCAUGGCUGUCGUCAGCUCGUGUUGUGAAAUGUUGGGUUAAGUCCCGCAACGAGCGCAACCCUUAUCCUUUGUUGCCAGCACGUAAUGGUGGGAACUCAAAGGAGACUGCCGGUGAUAAACCGGAGGAAGGUGGGGAUGACGUCAAGUCAUCAUGGCCCUUACGAGUAGGGCUACACACGUGCUACAAUGGCAUAUACAAAGAGAAGCGAACUCGCGAGAGCAAGCGGACCUCAUAAAGUAUGUCGUAGUCCGGAUUGGAGUCUGCAACUCGACUCCAUGAAGUCGGAAUCGCUAGUAAUCGUAGAUCAGAAUGCUACGGUGAAUACGUUCCCGGGCCUUGUACACACCGCCCGUCACACCAUGGGAGUGGGUUGCAAAAGAAGUAGGUAGCUUAACCUUCGGGAGGGCGCUUACCACUUUGUGAUUCAUGACUGG